rnacentral:misc_RNA from 1 species
UUGGCUACCGCGAGCGCAUGAGUUGUCUUGGACUCGUGUCUGCUUGCAGGACCCCCGGCCCGUUGUGCGGCCGACUGCUGGCGCCGUUGUCCCAUCAAUAUUGCGGUGGUUACCAUACCGCUCUACGAACAAGUGCUUGCAUGCUGGUACCCGACCUACGGGAAGUGGUGCUUCGUACACGGUUGCCUCGCUGCGGACGCCCCUCGGGCGUGCCGCUACGGCUGAAAAGCGCUUGCGGCGUUGCCUCGUGGUGCCGRCAUCCUAUGUGUCCGGUGCCUCCAAGGCCACCUCGCUCGCGCUCUUGGUCUCGGAUGUCGCACAUGAUAAAGGCUCGCGGACCAUUGGCUCCGCGUCCCUACGAAAGCUCUCUCACUAGACGACAGUCGACCCGGUUCUUGCUGUUGCCAUGCCACAUGCUGGCUGGCACGUGCGGCUCUCGGUGUCGGCUCGUCGACGAGGACGUGCUACCUGGUUGAUCCUGCCAGUAGUC